AUAAAUAUUAUAUCAUUUUAUUAUGAUAAUCUAUUAUAUUAAUAGUAUUUGGUAGUAUAUAAUUACUGCAAAGAAUUAAUUAAAUUAAAGUUUGAUUAAUACCUUUUGCAUAAUGGUUUAAUAAAUAAUUGAAAGAAUUUUUUAUACCGAAAUUAGAAGAUCUAAUUUUUAUUUAUUCAUAGAUUAAAAUUUUAUAAUGUUUCAAAAUUAUAUUGAAAAUAUAAAUUAGGAGUGAAAGGCUUAUCAAUUCUAAAGAUAUCUGAAAUAAUUUUAAAUGUAUUUAGUACAAAAUAAUUUUUGAAUAAAAGAAUGUUAAGAUUUUUUUAUAGUAGAAUAUUUAAUUAUUUUUAUAUGUGGAUUAAUCUUCAGACAUUACAUUAUAAUUAUAAUUUAUAAUUUUAUGUAUCUAUUUAAUAAAAUUAUAUAUAAUGUAAUAUUAAAUUAAAUUAAUAAUGUUAAAAUUAGUAUAUAUACUAAAUUUAUUUAAGGAACUCGGCUAAUUAAUAUUCACCUGUUUAUCAACCUGCCCACUGAUAAAAUUUAAAUGGCCGCAGUACCUUGACUGUGCUAAGGUAGCAUAAUAAAUUGACUCUUAAUUGGGGCCUUGAAUGAACGGAUAAAUGAAUAAUUUCUAUCUUAAAUAAACUUAAUAAAAAUUACUAAGAAGGUGAAAAUUCCUUUAAAUUUAUUUAAUAGACGAGAAGACCCUAGGAGUUUUAAAUUUUGUUGGGGCGACAGUAUAGCAUAAUUAAUAAACCUAUAUAAAAUAAUAUAUAUAAAACGAAUAAUUUUAAUAAUAAAUAAACUACCCUAGGGAUAACAGCAUAAUUUAUAUUUAAGUUUGUGACCUCGAUGUUGGACUAGGAACUUUUAAUAUUAAUAAUAUUAAUUGGUAGUUCUGUUCGA
rnacentral:rRNA from 1 species